CAAACGAGAUACUAAGAAAAUAUCUUCCUUUUUCUUUCAAAAAACUAAAAGUCUAAAUCUAAAAAGAAAAGAUCCAAACUCAAAACAAAAAAUGAAGAUUCAAAACGUAAUUUUGUAAACGGCGAUGCUUUCGGGAAAGUAAAGUUUGCAGGAGAUGGAGAAGUUAAAAUGGAUGAUAAAUGGUAGUGCUUGUUUCACCACAGCAAAAAUGUUAAGGUGCAACUAGAUGUUGGUUUUAAAAACCUAGUUCUUCUAGGACUACUUUAACUAUUUAGCUGUAGACAAACUUCCUGGCGGCCAACUACUUUAUCGGAAGUAUCUCCCAAAUGAGGAUAGGGUAGAUGGAUAUUUCCUGUUCGUGACGUGUCCAGAUGUCAAAGUAGUUUGAGGAGAAUUACCUAUAUAAGAUUUUAGGAAAAUCUUGGUUAAUCAACCUCGCGACUCACUGAUCCCUAGGCCAGAGCUCUAACCUAACUCGCGCACGCGUGGUUAAUGUUCACACGCGGGAUGAAAUUUACGAGACAAAAGGAACCGAAUCGAACGUCCGUCUAUGUGUCCCGGUAUUUCACUGUACUGUAGUCGGAAUAUCACCAAAUAUACCCUAGCACCCCAGGCGUGGUGAUGCUAAUGCGGCUGCUCCCUCGAUGGAUGAAGUUUGGUGUUGAGUGGC